rnacentral:rRNA from 1 species
CAAGUCGAACGGUGAAGCCUUUCGGGGUGGAUCAGUGGCGAACGGGUGAGUAACACGUGAGUAAUCUGCCUCUGACUCUGGGAUAACCACGGGAAACGGUGGCUAAUACCGGAUAUGACACAUGGUCGCAUGGUCUGUGUGUGGAAAGUUUUUCGGUCAGAGAUGAGCUCGCGGCCUAUCAGCUUGUUGGUGGGGUAAUGGCCUACCAAGGCGACGACGGGUAGCCGGCCUGAGAGGGCGACCGGCCACACUGGGACUGAGACACGGCCCAGACUCCUACGGGAGGCAGCAGUGGGGAAUAUUGCGCAAUGGGCGAAAGCCUGACGCAGCGACGCCGCGUGAGGGAUGAAGGCCUUCGGGUCGUAAACCUCUUUCAGCAGGGAAGAAGCGCAAGUGACGGUACCUGCAGAAGAAGCACCGGCUAACUACGUGCCAGCAGCCGCGGUAAUACGUAGGGUGCAAGCGUUGUCCGGAAUUAUUGGGCGUAAAGAGCUCGUAGGCGGUCUGUCGCGUCUGCUGUGAAAACCUAGGGCUUAACUCUGGGCGUGCAGUGGGUACGGGCAGGCUAGAGUGCGGUAGGGGAGACUGGAAUUCCUGGUGUAGCGGUGAAAUGCGCAGAUAUCAGGAGGAACACCGGUGGCGAAGGCGGGUCUCUGGGCCGUAACUGACGCUGAGGAGCGAAAGCAUGGGGAGCGAACAGG